CGUACGGGUGGUUGCAGUGGGGAAUAUUGGACAAUGGGCGAAAGCCUGAUCCAGCCAUGCCGCGUGUGUGAAGAAGGCCUUCGGGUUGUAAAGCACUUUCAGUGGGGAAGAAAGCCUUGGGGCUAAUACCCUCGAGGAAGGACAUCACCCACAGAAGAAGCACCGGCUAACUCCGUGCCAGCAGCCGCGGUAAUACGGAGGGUGCGAGCGUUAAUCGGAAUUACUGGGCGUAAAGCGCGCGUAGGCGGUCUGAUAAGCCGGUUGUGAAAGCCCCGGGCUCAACCUGGGAACGGCAUCCGGAACUGUCAGGCUAGAGUGAAGGAGAGGAAGGUAGAAUUCCCGGUGUAGCGGUGAAAUGCGUAGAGAUCGGGAGGAAUACCAGUGGCGAAGGCGGCCUUCUGGACUGACACUGACGCUGAGGUGCGAAAGCGUGGGUAGCAAACAGGAUUAGAUACCCCAGUAGUC
rnacentral:rRNA from 1 species